CAAAGGGAUGCCUCAGUAGCGGCGAGUGAAGCGGCAAAAGCUCAAAUUUGAAAUCUGGCGUCUUUGGCGUCCGAGUUGUAAUUUGAAGAAGGUAUCUUUGGGCCCGGCUCUUGUCUAUGUUCCUUGGAACAGGACGUCACAGAGGGUGAGAAUCCCGUGCGAUGAGAUGACCCGGGUCUGUGUAAAGUUCCUUCGACGAGUCGAGUUGUUUGGGAAUGCAGCUCUAAGUGGGUGGUAAAUUCCAUCUAAAGCUAAAUAUUGGCGAGAGACCGAUAGCGAACAAGUACAGUGAUGGAAAGAUGAAAAGAACUUUGAAAAGAGAGUGAAAAAGUACGUGAAAUUGUUGAAAGGGAAGGGCUUGAGAUCAGACUUGGUAUUUUGCAUGCUGCUCUCUCGGGGGCGGCCGCUGCGGUUUACCGGGCCAGCAUCGGUUUGGAGCGGCAGGAUAAUGGCGGAGGAAUGUGGCACGGCUUCUGCUGUGUGUUAUAGCCUCUGACGAUACUGCCAGCCUAGACCGAGGACUGCGGUUUUUAACCUAGGAUGUUGGCAUAAUGAUCUUAAGUCGCCCGUCUUGACCA
rnacentral:rRNA from 1 species